rnacentral:rRNA from 1 species
AACGAACGCUGGCGGCAGGCCUAACACAUGCAAGUCGAGCGAGCAUUUCGGUGCUAGCGGCGGACGGGUGAGUAACGCGUGGGAACGUGCCCUUUUCUGCGGAAUAAUCCUGGGAAACUGGGGGUAAUACCGCAUACGCCCUUUUGGGGAAAGAUUUAUCGGAGAAGGAUCGGCCCGAGUUGGAUUAGGUAGUUGGUGGGGUAAUGGCCCACCAAGCGGACGAUCCAUAGCUGGGUUGAGAGGAUGAUCAGCCACACUGGGACUGAGACACGGCCCAGACUCCUACGGGAAGGAGCAGUAGGGAAUCGUAGCCAAUGCGGGCAACUCUGAUAUAGCCAUGCCGCGUGAGUGAUGAAGGCCUUAGGGUUGUAAAGCUCUUUCAGCUGAGAAGCUAAUGACGGUACCAGAAGCAGAAGCCCAGGCUAACUCCGUG